rnacentral:lncRNA from 1 species
ACCUCCAUACGUUUACAGUUCUCCACCACCUCCACUAUCGUAUUCGCCAUCUCCCAAGGUAGACUACAAGUCUCCACCACCUCCAUAUGUUUACAGCUCUCCACCACCACCAUAUUACUCACCAUCCCCUAAAGUCGAAUACAAAUCCCCACCACCUCCAUAUGUUUAUAGUUCUCCACCACCACCAUAUUACUCACCCUCACCUAAAGUAGAUUACAAGUCUCCACCACCACCGUAUGUUUACAGCUCCCCACCACCACCAUACUAUUCACCUUCUCCAAAGCCCACAUACAAAUCACCACCACCUCCAUAUGUUUACAAUUCUCCACCACCACCAUACUACUCACCAUCCCCUAAGGUCGAAUACAAAUCUCCACCACCUCCAUACGUCUAUAGCUCUCCACCCCCACCAUACUACUCACCCUCACCUAAAGUAGAUUAUAAGUCUCCACCACCACCGUAUGUUUACAACUCUCCACCACCACCAUACUAUUCACCUUCUCCAAAACCCACAUACAAGUCCCCACCACCACCAUAUAUUUACAGCUCUCCACCACCACCAUACUAUUCUCCUUCUCCUAAACCAGUAUACAAAUCUCCACCACCACCAUACGUCUAUUCCUCUCCACCACCACCAUACUAUUCACCUUCUCCUAAACCAGCAUACAAAUCUCCACCACCACCGUAUGUUUAUAGCUCUCCACCUCCUCCAUACUACUCGCCUUCUCCUAAACCCAUAUACAAGUCUCCACCACCACCGUACGUCUACAACUCUCCUCCACCACCAUACUACUCUCCUUCUCCAAAACCGGCAUACAAAUCUCCACCACCACCAUACGUAUACAGCUUUCCACCUCCUCCAUACUACUCGCCUUCUCCUAAACCCGUAUACAAGUCUCCACCACCACCAUACGUCUACAACUCUCCUCCACCACCAUACUACUCUCCUUCUCCAAAACCGGCAUACAAAUCUCCACCACCACCAUACGUAUACAGCUCUCCACCACCACCAUACUACUCGCCUUCUCCUAAACCAACAUACAAAUCUCCACCACCACCAUAUGUUUAUAGCUCUCCACCUCCUCCAUACUACUCGCCUUCUCCUAAACCCGUAUACAAGUCUCCACCACCACCGUACAUCUACAACUCUCCACCACCACCAUACUACUCCCCUUCACCUAAACCAUCAUACAAAUCCCCACCACCACCAUAUGUUUACAGCUCUCCACCACCACCAUAUUACUCGCCUUCUCCUAAGCUUACAUACAAAUCCUCACCACCACCCUAUGUUUACAGCUCUCCACCACCACCAUAUUACUCUCCUUCUCCUAAGGUUGUAUACAAAUCUCCACCACCACCAUAUGUUUACAGCUCUCCACCACCACCAUACUACUCCCCUUCACCUAAACCAUCAUACAAAUCCCCACCACCACCGUACGUCUAUAACUCUCCACCUC